rfam:Epilithonimonas sp. 36-9 SCNpilot_cont_300_bf_scaffold_659, whole genome shotgun sequence.
UAUCUUUGCACCCGAAUUACAUAAUAAUUAUUAAAACAAUAUUGGAAUG